rnacentral:lncRNA from 1 species
GACACUAGGCUAUUAUUAUCAGAGGUCUUGCAGAAAGGCAGAGCCUUGGAUCAAGGAAGUCCAUCGUGAUGCAGGCAAUAGGGUCUAACUUCCAGGAGAGCUACAAGUGUUCUGGACGAGGCUGAGUACUGGGCUCAGGAGACCUUGCAGGGUUCCAAGACCACCCACAGUCAGAAAUCAAACAGAUUCCAUUACAGUAAAACAAGAAAGAG